rnacentral:rRNA from 1 species
CCUACGGGAGGCAGCAGUAAGGAAUAUUGGUCAAUGGACGAAAGUCUGAACCAGCCAUGCCGCGUGAAGGAUUAAGGCCCUCUGGGUUGUAAACUUCUUUUAUCUGGGACGAAAAAAGGGUAUUCUUACUCACUUGACGGUACCAGAGGAAUAAGCACCGGCUAACUCCGUGCCAGCAGCCGCGGUAAUACGGAGGGUGCAAGCGUUAUCCGGAUUUACUGGGUUUAAAGGGUGCGUAGGUGGGCUUGUAAGUCAGUGGUGAAAUCUCCGGGCUUAACCCGGAAACUGCCAUUGAUACUAUAGGUCUUGAAUUAUCUGGAGGUAAGCGGAAUAUGUCAUGUAGCGGUGAAAUGCUUAGAUAUGACAUAGAACACCAAUUGCGAAGGCAGCUUACUACGGAUAUAUUGACACUGAGGCACGAAAGCGUGGGGAUCAAACAGGAUUAGAUACCCUGGUAGUCCACGCCCUAAACGAUGGAUACUCGACAUCAGCGAUACACUGUUGGUGUCUGAGCGAAAGCAUAAGUAUCCACCUGGAAGUACGAUCGCAAGAUUGAAACUCAAAGGAAAUUGACGGCUGAGAGNGCGAGACGACGACGAGGGAGGAGG